GAUGAACGCUGGCGGCGUGCUUAACACAUGCAAGUCGAACGGAAAGGCCAGUGCUUGCACUGGUACUCGAGUGGCGAACGGGUGAGUAACACGUGGGUGAUCUGCCCUGCACUUCGGGAUAAGCCUGGGAAACUGGGUCUAAUACCGGAUAGGACAAUGGUUUGGAUGCCGUGGUGGAAAGUUUUUUCGUUGUGGGAUGAGCUCGCGGCCUAUCAGAUUGUUUGUGGGGCAAUGGGCUACCAAGGCGUCGACGGGUAGCCGGCCUGAGAGGGUGUACGGGCAUCAAGAAGCUGUGACUCGGCCGCGACUCCUACUGCAGGCAGCAGUGGCGGAGAUUGCACAAUGGGCUCAAGCCUGGUGCAGCGGCGCUGCGUGGGGGAUGUCGGCCUUCGAGUUGUAAGCCCCUUUCGCUGCGCACGAAGCGUUUUUGUGACGUUACCUGGAGAAGAAGCCCCGGCUAGCUACGUG
rnacentral:rRNA from 1 species